rnacentral:rRNA from 1 species
AAGUCAGAGGUGAAAUCCCACAGCUCAACUGUGGAACUGCCUUUGAUACUGUUUGACUUGAGUAAGGGAGAAGUGGGUAGAAUGUGUGGUGUAGCGGUGAAAUGCAUAGAUAUCACACAGAAUACCAAUUGCGAAGGCAGAUUACUAAAUAUUUACUGACGCUCAUGGACGAAAGCGUGGGGAGCGAACAGGAUUAGAUACCCUGGUAGUCCACGCCGUAAACGAUG